GACGAACGCUGGCGGCGUGCUUAACACAUGCAAGUCGAACGGAAAGGCCCUGCUUUUGUGGGGUGCUCGAGUGGCGAACGGGUGAGUAACACGUGAGUAACCUGCCCUUGACUUUGGGAUAACUUCAGGAAACUGGGGCUAAUACCGGAUAGGAGCUCCUGCUGCAUGGUGGGGGUUGGAAAGUUUCGGCGGUUGGGGAUGGACUCGCGGCUUAUCAGCUUGUUGGUGGGGUAGUGGCUUACCAAGGCUUUGACGGGUAGCCGGCCUGAGAGGGUGACCGGGCACAUUGGGACUGAGAGACGGCCCAGACUCCUACGGGGGGCAGCAGUGGGGAAUAUUGCACAAUGGGCGGAAGCCUGAUGCAGCAACGCCGCGGGCGGGAUGACGGCCUUCGGGUUGUAAACCGCUUUCGCCUGUGACGAAGCGUGAGUGACGGUAAUGGGUAAAGAAGCACCGGCUAACUACGUG
rnacentral:rRNA from 1 species